UACAGAGGGUGCAAGCGUUAAUCGGAAUUACUGGGCGUAAAGCGAGCGUAGGUGGUCAUUUAAGUCAGAUGUGAAAUCCCCGGGCUUAACCUGGGAACUGCAUCUGAUACUGGGUGACUAGAGUAGGUGAGAGGGAAGUAGAAUUCCAGGUGUAGCGGUGAAAUGCGUAGAGAUCUGGAGGAAUACCGAUGGCGAAGGCAGCUUCCUGGCAUCAUACUGACACUGAGGUUCGAAAGCGUGGGUAGCAAAC
rnacentral:rRNA from 1 species